rnacentral:rRNA from 1 species
GGGGGGGGGGGCAAGCGUUGUUCGGAAUUACUGGGCGUAAAGGGCGCGCAGGCGGGCUGGAGAAGUUCUGGGGGUGAAAGCCCCCGGGCUCAACCGGGGAAGGUCCUGGAAAAACCAUCUGGCUGGAGUGCUGGAGAGGCAAGCGGAAUUUCUGGUGUAGCGGUGAAAUGCGUAGAUAUCAGAAGGAACAUCGGAGGCGAAGGCGGCUUGCUGGACAGACACUGACGCUGAGGCGCGAAAGCCAGGGGAGCGAACGGGAUUAGAUACCCCGGUAGUCCUGGCUGUAAACGAUGGGUACUUGGUGUGUGGGGUGAGAAGUCCCUACGUGCCGGCGAUAACUCGUUAAGUACCCCGCCUGGGGAGUACGAUCGCAAAGAUUG